UGCCUCAGUACGGCGAGUGAAGCGGCAACAGCUCAAAUUUGAAAUCUGGCCGCAAGGUCCGAGUUGUAAUUUGCAGAGGAUGCUUUUGGCGAGGUGCCUUCCGAGUUCCCUGGAACGGGACGCCAUAGAGGGUGAGAGCCCCGUACGGUUGGACCACCGAGCCUCUGUAAAGCUCCUUCGACGAGUCGAGUAGUUUGGGAAUGCUGCUCUAAAUGGGAGGUGUACGUCUUCUAAAGCUAAAUACCGGCCAGAGACCGAUAGCGCACAAGUAGAGUGAUCGAAAGAUGAAAAGCACUUUGAAAAGAGGGUUAAAAAGUACGUGAAAUUGUUGAAAGGGAAGCGUUUAUGACCAGACUUGGGCUUGGUUGAACAUCCGGCGUUCUCGCCGGUGCACUCUGCCAGUCCAGGCCAGCAUCAGUUUGUCCCGGGGGAUAAAGGCGGUGGGAAUGUGGCUCCCCCGGGAGUGUUAUAGCCCGCCGUGCAAUGCCCUGGGACGGACUGAGGAACGCGCUUCGGCACGGAUGCUGGCGUAAUGGUCAUCAACGACCCGUCUUGAAACGGACCA
rnacentral:rRNA from 1 species